ACUCGGAGGCCUCUUUAGUAAACAGUCUUCGGCCCCAGUCAAAGGGCAAGUCCAGGCCCCCGUGACCCGAUGGUUGUCUGUGUGUAGAGGGUAUUCUGAGGCUGAGGAUUAGAGGAUGAAAAUGGCCUUCCUAGUUGAAAGCCCUAGAAACCAUGUCUCCUGGAUCUCAGGAUGUGCCUUCCAGACAAGCGAUGGUGGGGCCUCUGAUGUCUGAUCCAGUCCCUGCUGCCUGUUGCAAACACCCGUAACGCCUCAUCUUUUCAGAGUCUCAGAGACUCCUCGAAUAUCCUGGUUUCCUUUGUCGGCCCUGUCCUGUGUCCUCACUUGAUUUGUUUUUUCUGGUGUCUUCUGACUCACCUUUUCUUCAUUAUCCCUUUUCCAUUCUGGAUAAUAGAACUUGUCUGCUUCUAAACACUGCAACACCAUAAAAGGACAACAAGAUAAA